CACGUAGGCACCAAGCGUUGUCCGGAUUUAUUGGGCGUAAAGAGCUCGUAGGCGGUUGAGUAAGUCGGGUGUGAAAACUCUGGGCUUAACCCAGAGCCGCCACUCGAUACUGCUCUGACUUGAGUUCGGUAGGGGAGCAGGGAAUUCCUAGUGUAGCGGUGAAAUGCGCAGAUAUUAGGAGGAACACCGGUGGCGAAGGCGGCGUUCUGGACUGCAACUGACACUGAGGAACGAAAGCCAGGGGAGCAAACGGG
rnacentral:rRNA from 1 species